CCUACGGGAGGCAGCAGUAGGGAAUAUUGCACAAUGGGGGAAACCCUGAAGCAGCAACGCCGCGUGAAGGAAGAAGGAUUUCGGAUCGUAAACUCCUUUUGUCAGGGAAGAAAAUGACGGUAUCUAACGAAUAAGCCCCGGCUAACUACGUGCCAGCAGCCGCGGUAAUACGGAGGGGGCAAGCGUUACUCGGAAUCACUGGGCGUAAAGGGAGCGUAGGCGGGAUCGCAAGUCUGAUGUGAAAUCCUAGGGCUUAACCCUAGAACUGCAUUGGAAACUGUUCGUCUAGAGUACAGGAGAGGUAGGUGGAAUUCCUGGUGUAGGGGUAAAAUCCGUAGAUAUCAAGAGGAAUACUCAUGGCGAAGGCGACCUGCUAGAACAUAACUGACGCUGAGGCGCGAAAGCGUGGGGAGCAAACAGGAUUAGAUACCCUUGUAGUC
rnacentral:rRNA from 1 species